AGCUACAGGCUUAACACAUGCAAGUCGAGGGGCAGCAUGGUCUUAGCUUGCUAAGGCCGAUGGCGACCGGCGCACGGGUGAGUAACACGUAUCCAACCUGCCGUCUACUCUUGGACAGCCUUCUGAAAGGAAGAUUAAUACAAGAUGGCAUCAUGAGUCCGCAUGUUCACAUGAUUAAAGGUAUUCCGGUAGACGAUGGGGAUGCGUUCCAUUAGAUAGUAGGCGGGGUAACGGCCCACCUAGUCUUCGAUGGAUAGGGGUUCUGAGAGGAAGGUCCCCCACAUUGGAACUGAGACACGGUCCAAACUCCUACGGGAGGCAGCAGUGAGGAAUAUUGGUCAAUGGGCGAGAGCCUGAACCAGCCAAGUAGCGUGAAGGAUGACUGCCCUAUGGGUUGUAAACUUCUUUUAUAAAGGAAUAAAGUCGGGUAUGGAUACCCGUUUGCAUGUACUUUAUGAAUAAGGAUCGGCUAACUCCGUGCCAGCAGCCGCGGUAAUACGGAGGAUCCGAGCGUUAUCCGGAUUUAUUGGGUUUAAAGGGAGCGUAGAUGGAUGUUUAAGUCAGUUGUGAAAGUUUGCGGCUCAACCGUAAAAUUGCAGUUGAUACUGGAUAUCUUGAGUGCAGUUGAGGCAGGCGGAAUUCGUGGUGUAGCGGUGAAAUGCUUAGAUAUCACGAAGAACUCCGAUUGCGAAGGCAGCCUGCUAAGCUGCAACUGACAUUGAGGCUCGAAAGUGUGGGUAUCAAACAGGAUUAGAUACCCUGGUAGUCCACACGGUAAACGAUGAAUACUCGCUGUUUGCGAUGUACGGCAAGCGGCCAAGCGAAAGCGUUAAGUAUUCCACCUGGGGAGUACGCCGGCAACGGUGAAACUCAAAGGAAUUGACGGGGGCCCGCACAAGCGGAGGAACAUGUGGUUUAAUUCGAUGAUACGCGAGGAACCUUACCCGGGCUUAAAUUGCAGAUGAAUUACGGUGAAAGCCGUAAGCCGCAAGGCAUCUGUGAAGGUGCUGCAUGGUUGUCGUCAGCUCGUGCCGUGAGGUGUCGGCUUAAGUGCCAUAACGAGCGCAACCCUUGUUGUCAGUUACUAACAGGUUCCGCUGAGGACUCUGACAAGACUGCCAUCGUAAGAUGUGAGGAAGGUGGGGAUGACGUCAAAUCAGCACGGCCCUUACGUCCGGGGCUACACACGUGUUACAAUGGGGGGUACAGAGGGCCGCUACCACGCGAGUGGAUGCCAAUCCCCAAAACCUCUCUCAGUUCGGACUGGAGUCUGCAACCCGACUCCACGAAGCUGGAUUCGCUAGUAAUCGCGCAUCAGCCACGGCGCGGUGAAUACGUUCCCGGGCCUUGUACACACCGCCCGUCAAGCCAUGGGAGCCGGGGGUACCUGAAGUGCGUAACCGCGAGGAGCGCCCUAGGGUAAAACUGGUGACUGGGGCUAAGU
rnacentral:rRNA from 1 species